GACGAACGCUGGCGGCGUGCUUAACACAUGCAAGUCGAACGGUAAGGCCCUUCGGGGUACACGAGUGGCGAACGGGUGAGUAACACGUGGGUGAUCUGCCCUGCACUUCGGGAUAAGCCUGGGAAACUGGGUCUAAUACCGGAUAGGACUCCUGGCUUCAUGGUUGGGGGUGGAAAGCUUUUGUGGUAUGGGAUGGGCCCGCGGCCUAUCAGCUUGUUGGUGGGGUGAUGGCCUACCAAGGCGACGACGGGUAGCCGGCCUGAGAGGGUGACCGGCCACACUGGGACUGAGAUACGGCCCAGACUCCUACGGGAGGCAGCAGUGGGGAAUAUUGCACAAUGGGCGCAAGCCUGAUGCAGCGACGCCGCGUGAGGGAUGACGGCCUUCGGGUUGUAAACCUCUUUCAGCACAGACGAAGCGCAAGUGACGGUAGGUGCAGAAGAAGGACCGGCCAACUACGUGCCAGCCGCCGCCGUAA
rnacentral:rRNA from 1 species